rnacentral:misc_RNA from 1 species
AACGCAAAUUGCACUUCUUGGUAUUCCGAGGAGUAUGCUUGCUUGAGGGUUGGUCUACAAAAAAUCGUAAAUUUUUUUUCCGAGUUUUCCGACUGCGGUUGCCUAAAAUUUAUUUUAACAAUAAGGUGUUGAUUAGAAAUGUUCUAUCUUAAAUAUUGUAAGUUCAUUAAUAAUUAUGCUAAUUGUUAUAUCGCGUUAUUCAUCUAGUAUCUUUGAUUAGGUGAAAUAAUUUAAUUUUUUUAAUCCUACAUGUACCUCAAGUUAAGCAAAGGUACCCGCUAAACUUAA